rnacentral:rRNA from 1 species
UACAGAGGUCUCAAGCGUUGUUCGGAUUCAUUGGGCGUAAAGGGUGCGUAGGUGGCAGGGUAAGUCGAACGUGAAAUCCCCGGGCUCAACCCGGGAACUGCGUCCGAUACUGGAAGGCUUGAAUUCGGGAGAGGGAUGCAGAAUUCCAGGUGUAGCGGUGAAAUGCGUAGAUAUCUGGAGGAAUACCGGUGGCGAAGGCGGCAUCCUGGACCGAGAUUGACACUGAUGAGCGAAAGCUAGGGGAGCAAACGGG